GUGCUUGCUUCAGCAGCACAUGUACUAAAGUUGGAACAAUAGAGAGAAGAUUAGCAUGGCCCCUGUGCAAGGAUAACACACUAUUUACUGACAAUCCCUAUGAUACC
ensembl:snRNA U6 U6 spliceosomal RNA